CAGAGGUCAUAGAGGUGUUCGUUCCUGCAUUGAAUGUCUGCAGUCAGAUGUGAGUCUGUAAUUUAAUGUGCUUUGGGGGAAAUGGAUAUCACAAACCCGGAUCUGUUUGUUCGAACUAUGUCCUGUUUGUUUUGCAGAUUAUGGUCCGGCUUUUGAUUGGAAUCGGACGUCCACCUGAUCAUUCCUCAGUCGUGCGACAUGUACUCGAACCCUUCACGAGACCUGAACAGGAGAUUCUGCCACAAGUUCUGGAGCAAGGGUUAGACAAAUUGCUUGCACACAUCAGGCAGAGGGCUAGCAUUGCCCCUGCAGAAAGCAAUGUAACCAUAAAGAAUACAGGAAGUAGUCCCAGUAAAUCCUGAUCUUAAUGGAAGACUUUGGGGAGAAUGUUGACUGUUUUUUUGUGGUCCAGAGCUUGACUUUUGAGAAAUGCCAGCUAAGACAGCCAAGUCUCUUUUAGACACAUAUCCAAAUUUAACUUUAUUUUCUGUAUAUUUAUAUAUUUUUUUAAUUACUACACUGGUAUUACUUGAAUUAAAUAACUUAAUGUAAAUGUAUUGGAAAGCCACCAUAUUGGCGUGUCAUUGAGAGUAGCUAUGUUAACUUCAUAUGACAUAAUUUGAAUGAUAACAUGCUUAAUGUUUCCAGCCCCUUCUGGUGUAAGCUGACUGAUUUCAGCAGACUUAAAGGAAGAUUGUAAAUAGAAGACCCAGUUUACCUUGAUUCUAAAAGUUUAAAGGUUUUGAGAAACAUGCCACAUCUACAUACUUUGGAAGGACGUUUGGGGAAAAUCUUAUAUACUGAGAAAUUUCAGCACAGGUAUCAUCAAAUGAAAACGAUUACUUAAAGGGACACUAUAGUCACCUGAAUAACUUUAGCUUAAAUAAGCAGUUUUGGUGUAUAGAACAUGCCCAUGCAGCCUCACUGCUCAAUU